GAUGAACGCUGGCGGCGUGCCUAAUACAUGCAAGUCGAGCGAACAGAUGAGGAGCUUGCUCCUCUGACGUUAGCGGCGGACGGGUGAGUAACACGUGGAUAACCUACCUAUAAGACUGGGAUAACUUCGGGAAACCGGAGCUAAUACCGGAUAAUAUAUAGAACCGCAUGGUUCAAUAGUGAAAGACGGUUUUGCUGUCACUUAUAGAUGGAUCCGCGCCGCAUUAGCUAGUUGGUAAGGUAACGGCUUACCGAGGCAACGAUGCGUAGCCGACCUGAGAGGGUGAUCGGCCACACUGGAACUGAGACACGGUCCAGACUCCUACGGGAGGCAGCAGUAGGGAAUCUUCCGCAAUGGGCGAAAGCCUGACGGAGCAACGCCGCGUGAGUGAUGAAGGUCUUCGGAUCGUAAAACUCUGUUAUUAGGGAAGAACAAAUGUGUAAGUAACUAUGCACGUCUGGACGGUACCUAAUCAGAAAGCCACGGCUAACUACGU
rnacentral:rRNA from 1 species